rnacentral:rRNA from 1 species
GGAUUUAUUGGGUUUAAAGGGUGCGUAGGCGGCUAUUUAAGUCAGCGGUGAAAUUUUGCAGCUUAACUGUAACAGUGCCGUUGAAACUGUUUAGCUAGGAUUUGGUUGCAGUGUGCGGAAUGUGUGGUGUAGCGGUGAAAUGCUUAGAUAUCACACAGAACACCAAUUGCGAAGGCAGCACACUAAGUCAAUAUUGACGCUGAGGCACGAAAGUGUGGGGAUCAAACAGGAUUAGAUACCCUGGUAGUCCACACUGUAAACGAUGAUAACUCGCUGCCAGCGAUACAUUGUCGGUGGCCAAGCGAAAGCAUUAAGUUAUCCACCUGGGGAGUACGACCGCAAGGUUGAAACUCAAAGGAAUUGACGGGGGCCCGCACAAGCGGAGGAACAUGUGGUUUAAUUCGAUGAUACGCGAGGAACCUUACC